rnacentral:rRNA from 1 species
GGAGCAUGCCUGUUUGAGUGUC